GAAUUUUAUAUAGAUUUAUUAUGUAUAUUAUAAUAAAAAUAUUAAUAAAUCUAUAUUUUAUUGGGAGGAUAAUUAAAUUAUAUAAACUUUAAUAAUGUAAUAAAACAUUAAUGUAUGAGUUAAAUAAUAAAAGAAUGGUUAAAUUAGUUUAAGUAGAAUUAAUUACCUUAGGGAUAACAGCGUAAUAUUUUUAGAGAGAUCUUAUUAAUAAAAAUGAUUGC
rnacentral:rRNA from 1 species